rnacentral:rRNA from 1 species
AGGGUUCGAUUCUGGCUCAGGAUGAACGCUGGCGGCGUGCUUAACACAUGCAAGUCGAACGGGAUCCCAGGAGCUUGCUCCUGGGUGAGAGUGGCGAACGGGUGAGUAAUGCGUGACCGACCUGCCCCAUACACCGGAAUAGCUCCUGGAAACGGGUGGUAAUGCCGGAUGCUCCAGUUGACCGCAUGGUCCUCUGGGAAAGCUUUUGCGGUAUGGGAUGGGGUCGCGUCCUAUCAGCUUGAUGGCGGGGUAACGGCCCACCAUGGCUUCGACGGGUAGCCGGCCUGAGAGGGCGACCGGCCACAUUGGGACUGAGAUACGGCCCAGACUCCUACGGGAGGCAGCAGUGGGGAAUAUUGGGCAAUGGGCGCAAGCCUGACCCAGCAACGCCGCGUGAAGGAAGAAGGCUUUCGGGUUGUAAACUUCUUUUGUCAGGGACGAGUAGAAGACGGUACCUGACGAAUAAGCCACGGCUAACUACGUGCCAGCAGCCGCGGUAAUACGUAGGUGGCAAGCGUUAUCCGGAAUUACUGGGCGUAAAGAGUGAGCAGGCGGUUAGAUAAGUCUAUGGUUAAAUGCAACAGCUCAACUGUUGUUCGCUAUAGAAACUAUUUAACUAGAGUGCGGGAGAGGUAAGUGGAACUCCAUAUGUAGCGGUGGAAUGCUUAGAUAUAUGGAAGAACACCAGAGGCGAAGGCGGCUUACCAGUCCGUAACUGACGCUCAGUCACGAAAGCGUGGGGAGCAAAUAGGAUUAGAUAUCCUAGUAGUCCACGCCGUAAACGAUGAGAACCUGAUGCAGGAGAUAUUCUGUGUCGAAGCUAACGCGUUAAGUUCUCCGCCUGGGUACUACGUUCGCAAGAAUAAAACUUAAAGGAAUUGACGGGCGCCCGCACAAGCAGUGGAGCAUGGGGUUUAAUUCGUCGAUACACGAAAAACCUUACCAGGGCUUGACAUCCCGCUAAAAGCCUUAGAAAUAAGGAAAUAGUUAUAGCGGUGACAGGUGGUGCAUGGUUGUCGUCAGCUCGUGCCGUGAGGUGUUAGGUUAAGUCCUCAAACGAGCGCAACCCUUGUCUUUAGUUGCCAUUAUUAAUUUAGGAACUCUAGAGAGACUGCCGGCGCAAGCCGGAGGAAGGCGGGGAUGACGUCAAAUCAUCAUGCCCUUUAUGCCCUGGGCCACACCCGUGCUACAAUGGUCGGUACAAAGAGAAGCAACACUGUGAGGUGAAGCAAAUCCCAUAAAGCCGAUCUCAAUUCGGAUUGAAGUCUGCAACUCGACUUCAUGAAGCUGGAAUUGCUAGUAAUCGCAGAUCAGCAACGCUGCGGUGAAUACGUUCUCGGGCGUUGUACACACUGCCCGUCACACCAUGAGAGCCGGUAAUACUCGAAGUCGUUAGCCUAACCGUAAGGAGGGCGGCGCCUAAGGUAGGACUGGUGAUUGGGGUUAAGUCGUAACAAGGUAUCCCUACGAGAACGUGGGGAUG